UUCCACGGCUUUCUGCAGUGCGGACUCCGAAGCCGACGAGCCACGGUGAGCCGGCGAGCCGGUGCCAUGCAAAGAGCGUCGCGAGAAGAAGCAGCCGGUGCCGGCGUAGGUGGGUCCCCGGAGUCCAUCCAUUCCCCUGGGAGUAAUCCUGAACUCACGCUUCAACUCGCUUGCGUAGAUGUCGUUCUCGUUGAUUCCAUGGAAGCACUGGGGGAACUGGACGAAGGCGAGGUUGGCGGAGACGGCAGGGUCCAGAAAGUAGCAGAGCGCGUGGAGAGGAGCGCGAGGGUUGUUGCAGUACAUGUCGCAGUCCAAGGUCAGGAU
rnacentral:lncRNA from 1 species